GCAAGUCGUACGAAAAUAGUUCUGUUGGGAGCUUUUUUAGUGGCAAACGGGUGCGUAACGCGUAAGAAUCUGCCCUUAGGAAGAGGAUAACUAGUAGAAAUAUUAGCUAAUACUCUAUAUGCCAUUGGUGAAAGAAGUAAUUCGCCUAAGGAGGAGCUUGCGUCUGAUUAGCUAGUUGGUAGGGUAAGGGCCUACCAAGGCGACGAUCAGUAGCUGGUUUGAGAGGAUGAUC
rnacentral:rRNA from 1 species